UACACUUAACUAACAGAGGGCUUGGACAUGGGCUUGAAAAAGCCCGGUCUAAGCCCGCUGUUUGCCAUCCCUACUCAAAAUGUGAGUAAAGUUUGUUUUCUUGUUUUUUUUUUUCUUUCAGAAUGAUUAGGGGAGCCCAAAUUACAAUUUUAACUGAACUCAAGUGGCAAUUAGAAUAUGCUAUUUAGGGUCUUAUAGAUGGUAUAACUUACAUCAACUCAAAAUAAAUUUCUUUUUUCUUACGACUCAAAUGUUGUUUGUUAAACAAUUAGAGAUUGAAGAAAAUUACUUUAAGGUCAAUUGCAAGUUACGUAUAAUGUAACUUAAUAAUUUUGUACAACUAAAACAAAAACUUGAUUAAGACCUUGAGGGACUAAUGCCAGCUCUAUACUUGUUCGGUUAUUGCUUUUAGUUUAUCAUAACAAGCCAUAGAUUUAAAAUUGAAAAAAAAAAUGAAACUUUUGUCCACGACCUCAAGUUCCCUUAAACCGGCCUUGCUUAGCCAAAUAAAAUUAGUUUUGAGUUAACGUGAUUAAUUCUUAGAACAAUGUGCUUAAUAUUCACAAACAAUUCAAGUUUGGUGUAGAGUAGGGUUGAUUUUUGGGUAUUAAGGGUCUUAGGAGAUUUUUAUUUAUUUAUUUACAUUUAGCAAUUUCAAUACUAAGGUGGUUUUUUCUUUUUUGUCUUAAAUCUGAAUAGACUUGAAUUAGUUUGAAUUUUGAAUAGAGCUGAAUGUAUGAAUCUAAAUGAUAUGUUUAUUUUUUUAUUUGAAUCGCUAAAAAUUAAAUAUUAAGUCAUUUUUU
rnacentral:lncRNA from 1 species